AUAGGUGCAACAUAUGAAAACUAAUGAUGCUUGGUGUAGCAUGGAAUGAUAAUUGCAAUUGUACAGUUCUGUGCACUACAUUGUCUGAUGUUACAAGGCUGCAGCUAGAUAUUGUUCAUGCUAUGGCUAGAUAAUUGGCAUCCUAUGGUAUAUUGUUGGAAAGCUGAAGCUAAAGCAAAUUUUUCAGCCUCCCAUUAUUGCCUCAGCUUUGGCUAUCAUCAUUGGCGCUAUACCAUUUUUGAAGAACUUCAUCUUGACUGAUGAUGCCCCGCUAUUCUUCUUCACUGACAGCUGCCUUAUUCUUGGGGAAGCGAUGAUCCCAUGUAUUUUGCUUGCUCUGGGUGGAAAUCUUGUGGAUGGCUCUGGCCCAGGCAGUAAAAGACUUGGUUUACGAACAACUGCUGCUAUCAUAUUUUGAAGAUUGGUUUUGGUUCCUCCUACAG